rnacentral:rRNA from 1 species
UCCUACGGGAGGCAGCAGUGGGGAAUAUUGGACAAUGGGCGCAAGCCUGAUCCAGCCAUGCCGCGUGAGUGAUGAAGGCCCUAGGGUUGUAAAGCUCUUUUGUGCGGGAAGAUAAUGACGGUACCGCAAGAAUAAGCCCCGGCUAACUUCGUGCCAGCAGCCGCGGUAAUACGAAGGGGGCUAGCGUUGCUCGGAAUCACUGGGCGUAAAGGGCGCGUAGGCGGGUCUUUAAGUCAGGGGUGAAAUCCUGGAGCCCAACUCCAGAACUGCCUUUGAUACUGAAGAUCUUGAGUUCGGGAGAGGUGAGUGGAACUGCGAGUAUAGAGGUGAAAUUCGUAGAUAUUCGCAAGAACACCAGUGGCGAAGGCGGCCCACUGGCCCGAUACUGACGCUGAGGCACGAAAGCGUGGGGAGCAAACAGGAUUAGAUACCCUGGUAGUCCACGCCGUAAACGAUGAAAGCCAGCCGUUAGUGGGUUUACUCACUAGUGGCGCAGCUAACGCUUUAAGCAUUCCGCCUGGGGAGUACGGUCGCAAGAUUAAAACUCAAAUGAAUUGACGGA